rnacentral:misc_RNA from 1 species
GAAAAAUGAACCCAUCCCCAAAACUCUUUUCUUGUUCUCCUUUAGCAUGAAUUGAACUUUUUGCUUAGCUUUUGGAGAUCAAGAAAGUAUUUUGCCCCAACCCCUUUUCGAUUUUUGUUCCAAAAUCAUCAUGAAAGUGAUUUUGUUAGUGCUGCACUUUCUGCUACUAUUGGAAAGCUGCUUUUCUGCUUUUAAUUUUCCCAUAUGGAAGAAGCAGUUAAAAUCUGGUUCUUCUCUUGUGUUCCCUCUAGCUGGAAAUGUGUAUCCUGUUGGGUAUUAUCAAGUGACACUUGAGGUUGGCCGACCCCCCAAACCUUACUUUUUCGAUAUAGACACUGGUAGUGACCUAACUUGGCUGCAGUGUGAUGCACCUUGUGCAAAAUGCUCCCCGGCCCCUCACAAUCUUUACAAACCACAUAGAAAUGUUGUCACAUGUAAGGAUCCUGUAUGCACGUCCCUUCACUGGCCUGAGAGCCAUCCUUGUCACGACCCUAAUGAGCAAUGCGACUAUGAGGUUGCGUAUGCAGAUAGUGGUUCAUCCUUGGGAGUGCUGGUUAAAGACACAUUUGUACUAAGAUUCACCAAUGGUAGCACUGCUGCUCCUCAUCUAAUAUUUGGUUGUGGUUACAGUCAAGAAGUGCCAGUUUCUACUCAUUCACCUUUUACAGAUGGAGUUCUUGGUCUUGCCUAUGGAAAAUCAAGCAUCGUAUCGCAAUUGAGUGGCUUGGGUUAUAUCAGAAAUGUAGUUGGUCACUGUUUGAGUGCGCAAGGUGGAGGGUUUCUUUUCUUCGGUGAUGAUGUUCUUCCCUCUUCUGAAAUUGCUUGGAGACCAAUAGAGCAAACAUCUUCGGAAAAGCACUACUCUUUGGGACCAGCAGAGCUCUUAUUUGACGGGCAGGCCACAGGAAUCAAGAGUCUUCCAAUUAUUUUUGACAGUGGAAGUACCUUCACUUACUUUAGUUCGAAAGCUUAUGAUAUUUUUCUAUCUUCGAUAAAGAAAAACAUAAAUGCAAAGCAGCUGACUGAUGCAACGGAUGACAAAAGCCUUCCCGUCUGCUGGAGUGGUUCCAAGCCCUUCAAAUCUGUUAAUGAUGCCACGAUCUACUUCAAGCCGUUUACACUGAGUUUCAUGAAAGCCAAGAAUGUUAAAUUUCAGCUUCUGCCUGAGGCCUAUCUUAUUGUUACUGAGCAUGGUAAUGUAUGCCUGGGAAUACUGAACGGUACAGAAGUCGGAUUAGAAAAUCAUAAUCUGAUUGGAGAUAUUUCUCUACUAGACAAAAUGGUGAUAUACGAUAACGAGAAAAAACAGAUUGGAUGGCAUCCAGCAAACUGCAACAAGUUUCCCAUCAGUCGUGACCAUGGCGAAGAUUAUUAUGAUGCAUACCCUGCCAACAUAGGACUAAACAAAGGGACAUGCCCUGCGAAGUUUGACUCUUUGAAGCAGAAGCAGAAAUAAGGUGACAAAGUGAAGCUAAUGUGGCGUUGAUGCCAUUUUCUGUAAAUGUUUAGUGCGAAAAGUAUAAUUGCCAAGUCAUUGAGAGUACAAAUAUAUUACUGAAAUGUUCCCUAUGACCUACAUCAAAGUUAUUGGGUGUAUCCCAAAUACAUACAGUAGUAGAGGUUCAGCCUACAUCACAAGAUCAUCUCCCAGCUUUGAGAUUUUGAGUCUCAGUUAGCUAUACACUUUGAGCCCCAGUUGUGUCUGCUUCUAAUAUAAGGUUUGGGCCAUUUACAACUGCAAUUGAGUUGAUGCAAUUUGGCGUAAUACCUGUCAGAAAUGGAAACUAUGUAUUAGACAUAGUGAAAACAAUUUCUUGAGAGGGUUGUAUCUAAUAUUAGUGUAGUGUUGAAAGUUGAAACACAUAAUUCAUCUUUCAAAUAAAUAAUACUAGUGUUGCCUUUGAUAUUUUUGGCUUCUUAAGAUCCUAAGUAAAUUUU